rnacentral:rRNA from 1 species
GAGCACGUAGGUGGGUUUGUAAGUCAGAUGUGAGAGCCUUCUGUUCAACGGAAGAAUUGCAUCUGAAACUGCGAGUCUUGAGUGUAGGAGGGGAGAAUGGAACUUCUGGUGGAGCGGUGAAAUGCGUAGAUAUCAGAAGGAACGCCGGCGGCGAAAGCGAUUCUCUGGCCUAUUACUGACACUCAGUGUGCGAAAGCUAGGGGAGCAGACGGGAUUAGAUACCCCGGUAGUCCUAGCCGUAAACGAUGGGCACUAAGUAGAGGGG